UCAUGUGUGUGUCCGCUGGCGUUGAAUGGGAAUGGGCGAACAACACAUCAAAUCAGAGAUGGAAUUUCAUUUGUGUAGUAACUUUGGAACAGGUUGGUCGUGUUUGCCGGGCGAUAUUUAUGCUGUGUUAGACAAUUAUUCUUGCGGUUUUUUUUCUGAGUACUGUAUUGUUGUUGUUUGUGUUGUCUGUUUUUUUUUUUGUUUGGUGUCUCUCCACCGCUGAGUGUGGGGAGUCUGUGUUGAUCGAUCGAGAAAAAAUAACAAAGAAAACAAAAUUAAUAUCAAACGGCAGCAACAACAACAGAAAAAUCAAUUGCGCGAAAUCGAAUCGUAAUGAAAUAAGAAAACAAGUUUGGUUUGAUUUUUAUGUCUUGAAAAAAAAAAAAAGAAAAAAAAAUAAAUAAAAUAAAAUAAAUAAAUAAAAAUAAUAAAAGUGAGAAAUUUAAAGAAAAAUAAAGGAAAUAAAAAAAUAGAAAAUAAAAUAAAGAAAAAUUAUUGAAAAAAAAAUUAUAUUUUUAUAAAAAAAAGAAUAAUUAAGGAAAGUUUCCACCAAGCGCCGAUGCUGUAGAUCCCAACCACUUAUGAAAUUAUUUGAAUUGAAAGUUUUGGGGACCAUUGAAAAAUUAUUUCCAUAUUUGUCAUUCGUCAUUUUUUUGUUUUUGUUGUUUUGCGUGAGUGUUUAUUCGAUUGUCAUUCGGUUAUAUCAACGUAUUUUGCAACAACAACCAGAAAAUCGUAUCGAAACGCAUUUAACAAAAAUUUAUCAUUAUCAACAAUUGAAGAAAAAUAAAAAAAGAAAA